GUGAAUCAUCGAAUCUUUGAACGCAAAUUGCACUCUCCGGUUUUCCGGGAGAGUAUGCCUGUUUGAGGGUCUGUUUAAAAAAUAAUCGAGGCUGCUGCUGUGGUGGCGCUUCGGAAUUGGGUCAUAUUCCACAUUUCGGGGAUGUAAGUGACCUAAAAUUUUUCUUAAGAUUUCUACGAACGUGCCCAAGAAUUUCUUGAACGUUAGCGACAUCUAUAUCA
rnacentral:misc_RNA from 1 species